GGAGAGCCUGCAUAUAGCUUCAGGCAUAUUUAAGCCUUAUUUUGCUUUUUAAAAUAACAAUAAAAUAGAGUUUCAAGGUGCUGAAUAUUCAGACUGAAUAGAUUACCCCAUGCACCUGUAAUUACAUAUCCUUUAACCUGGUGGGUGGUGUGAUUUCUUUAAGCAAAUUGUUGAAGGGUCAGAUUAUGUUGUGGGAGAGGAGCUGAAACACCUUCUGAUGGAACUCCAGCUUGAGGCAUGGAAUGUAUUUUGGGAGGAAGAUUUUCUGUCAACAGUUGGAGCAAUUUCUAAAGUGAUGGACUGCUCAUUUGAAUAAGAACAUUAUCCAUAAUCAGCAGGUCCUUUCAAAGCUUGGAUCAAUGCCAGGCUAGAAGUUCUUCAUUCUUAUCUCUUGGAGCCAAAGGAAGGAAUGAAAAGAGAGAAAAAAAAUACAAUAGCCAUUCCUAUCAGCUGGUUUAAUCAGGGGCUACAGCUCUUACAGCAGAGUCGAUCGGAGUGAGCAAUCUUCUGAAAUACAUUUAUAGGCAUUAUAUGCAAUAUUUAUCUAGGACUACAAGGAAGCCUGAAGGAACUGUGAAGGAACUGAAGGCAGAGUGCCCUGACACUGGCUCACAGGAGGCGGUGGGAUUUGCAACAUCAGAAAACCUUCCUGGGCCUUUCCUCCCCUUUUAUGAGAAGUAA
rnacentral:lncRNA from 1 species